CAUGGCGGGGAGGGUGUGUGCAAUUACGUUCCUGUCCUUCCAGUAGAGGACUUCGUUUCCGAUUAGGAUGUGUCGGAUUUUGGUUUUGGGGUGGAAAGGGAGGAUGUGGGUGGCGAUCCAGGUUUGGGCGGCGGGGAGUUUGGAUAAGGAUGGGACGUCGGCGUUGGCGAUUGUGACGGUGACGGAGAUUCCGGUGCCGGAGAAGGCGCGGAGGAUGUCUGGAUUGGCGUCGAAGAUUUUGACUCGGUCGAUUGUGGUUUUGGAUUUGAGGAAUGAGGAUACUUGGGAUGGGGGUGGGAGGUUGUUGGCUAAGGUGCCGUAGUUUACUCCGAUUGAGUGGAGGAGACUUGGGAUGGAGGUGGGAGGUUGUUGGCUAAGGUUCCGUAGUUUACUCCGAUUGAGUAGGCGGUGGUGGGUGGCGGUGGGAGGAGGAUUUGGAGGAGGAGGAGGAGGAUGAUCGGAGAAGUCGCCAUUUUUUCCGGCGGAGAGGAUUUCGAAUUGAUUGAUUGUGAACGGUUUAGUUUGAUUUAAAUAUGAGCAGAGAUGAAUGUGAACGGAACGGGAAGAAGAAGAGUGAG
rnacentral:lncRNA from 1 species